GUGAAUCAUCAAAUUUUUGAACGCAAAUUGCACUCUCUUCGGAGAGUAUGCCUGUUUGAGGGUCAGCCUAAAAAAAUUCGUCAUAGUCGCUGUUUCGCGGUGACAUUCGUCGGAUAUUCGGUCAUCUUAAACCAUUUGGUUUUAAGCGGCUUAAAAUUUCCUUUACGAUUCUGUUAACGUUUCUUAGAUUUACUUAUACGUUGAAGGUAUAGA
rnacentral:misc_RNA from 1 species